GCAGUCGACGGCAGCACGGGGGCACCCUGGUGGCGAGUGGCGAACGGGUGAGUAAUACAUCGGAACGUGCCCAGUCGUGGGGGAUAACGUACGAAAGCUACGCUAAUACCGCAUACGAACUGAGGUUGAAAGCGGGGGAUCGCAAGACCUCGCGCGAUUGGAGCGGCCGAUGGCAGAUUAGGUAGUUGGUGGGGUAAAGGCUCACCAAGUCGACGAUCUGUAGCUGGUCUGAGAGGACGACCAGCCACACUGGGACUGAGACACGGCCCAGACUCCUACGGGAGGCAGCAGUGGGGAAUUUUGGACAAUGGGCGCAAGCCUGAUCCAGCCAUUCCGCGUGCAGGAUGAAGGCCCUCGGGUUGUAAACUGCUUUUGUACGGAACGAAAAGGCCUUUUCUAAUACAGAGGGCUCAUGACGGUACCGUAAGAAUAAGCACCGGCUAACUACGUGCCAGCAGCCGCGGUAAUACGUAGGGUGCAAGCGUUAAUCGGAAUUACUGGGCGUAAAGCGUGCGCAGGCGGUGAUGUAAGACAGGUGUGAAAUCGGCUUAACCUGAACUGCAUUUGUGACUGCAUCGCU
rnacentral:rRNA from 1 species